AGUGAACGCUGGCGGUAGGCCUAACACAUGCAAGUCGAGCGGCAGCACAGUAAGAGCUUGCUCUUACGGGUGGCGAGUGGCGGACGGGUGAGGAAUACAUCGGAAUCUACUUUUUCGUGGGGGUUAACGUAGGGAAACUUACGCUAAUACCGCAUACGACCUACGGGUGAAAGCAGGGGAUCUUCGGACCUUGCGCGAUUGAAUGAGCCGAUGUCGGAUUAGCUAGUUGGCGGGGUAAAGGCCCACCAAGGCGACGAUCCGUAGCUGGUCUGAGAGGAUGAUCAGCCACACUGGAACUGAGACACGGUCCAGACUCCUACGGGAGGCAGCAGUGGGGAAUAUUGGACAAUGGGCGCAAGCCUGAUCCAGCCAUACCGCGUGGGUGAAGAAGGCCUUCGGGUUGUAAAGCCCUUUUGUUGGGAAAGAAAAGCAGCAGGUUAAUACCCCGCUGUUCUGACGGUACCCAAAGAAUAAGCACCGGCUAACUUCGUG
rnacentral:rRNA from 1 species